rnacentral:lncRNA from 1 species
CUCCAUGUUGUCAGGACCUGCAACAAAUAGAUAGAUUUUAAAACCAUGCUGGUGUUUCUUUUAUGCUGCAUACAGUACAUAACAGGAACUAAACAAGCAUCGAUGUGUCAAAGCUAGAGAAAGAACAACACCAGAGAGGUAAUAAACAGGAUGACUAUCAAUUGCCAAUUGACGAGCAUAAAAACACUAACCGUCAGCUCAUGUAAACUAAGCUGAGCAAAGGAAGGAGAAGUAUAAUGUAAGAAUGUGGUUUGAUAUUACUUUUUCAUACAUGAAAGACAACAGGUAAUGUGAGUCACUCAAUAGUUAAUAAAACGGAACAUUCGUCAAUUAAUACUACCUAUUCAUAAAACAGAGAUCAUAAAUUUCAAGCCCAAUUGCCAGUACACAAUUAUGGAUCAACUUUAAGAUUAUUAACCUAAACUAUUUAUUGGUUGGUCUCAUCAAGUCACACAGAGUAGCAUACUCACUGGACAAAUAAUAAAAUGGAAGUCAAAUACUUGAAGCCCAAGUGCCAGCACAGGCUUAUAAAUCACCUUAAAAGAUUAUUAAACUAAACAAUUUAUUGGAUGGCCUCAGUAAGUCAAAGAGUAGCAUACCCAAUUGCUUGAUGAUAGAAGGAAGAACAUCUUGUAGCUCUGUCAAGUCAAACCAUGAAUAUAAUAAGUAAUCACAAAGACAAGAACAUAUUAGGAUACACGCGGAUUUUUGUAGCAGACAUGUCAGGAAGGGCAAACCAAAGUAUAUAGCUUCAUAUUACAAAGACUAAUCAGGUGCACACAGAGAUGUGUAGGAUGGCCAAAGUUAAAAUGAGCAUGUUAUAAACUUGUUCAAAUUGACUAG